rnacentral:rRNA from 1 species
AGGUUAAGUUAGAAAGAGCGCAGGGUGGAUGCCUUGGCACUGAGAGCCGAAGAAAGACGUGAUAAGCUGCGAAAAGCUGCGGUAAGGAGCAAAUAUCCGAUGACCCGCAGAUAUCUGAAUGGGGAAACCCGGCUGAGCAAACCUCAGUCACCGUAUACUGAAUACAUAGGUAUACGGAGGGAACCCGCUGAACUGAAACAUCUAAGUAGGCGGAGGAAGAGAAAGAAACAUCGAUUCCGUAAGUAGCGGCGAGCGAACGCGGAAGAGCCCAAACCGUUGUGCGUGCACGACGGGGUAUGGACUGCGAUAUGGCAGUGUGGAAGAUAGUAGAAGGGUCUGGGAAGUCCCGCCAGAGAGAGUGAAAGCCUCGUACAUGAAAUCAGAAACACACCUAGCAGGAUCCGGAGUACCACGAGACACGAGAAACCUUGUGGGAAGGCGGAGGGACCACCCUCCAAGGCUAAAUACUACUCAGUGACCGAUAGCGCAUAGUACUGUGAAGGAAAGGUGAAAAGGACCCCGGGAGGGGAGUGAAAGAGAACCUGAAACCCUGUGUUUACAAGCUGUGGAACUGCGAAUAAAGCAGAACCGCGUACUUUUUGUAGAACGGUCCGGCGAGUUUCUUGUGCUGGCAAGGUUAAGUACCUCAGGUACGGAGCCGAAGUGAAAGCAAGUGUUAAUAGCACGUAAAGUCAGUAUAAGAAGACCCGAAACCGGGUGAUCUACCCAUGUCCAGGUUGAAGUUGCCGUAAAAGGCAAUGGAGGACCGAACGCACAUCCGUUGAAAAGGGUGGCGAUGAGGUGUGGGUAGGGGAGAAAUUCCAAUCGAACCCGGAGAUAGCUGGUUCUCCUCGAAAUAGCUUUAGGGCUAGCCUCGUAUUAGUCUAGCGGAGGUAGAGCACUGAAUAUCCUAGGGGGCGUCAAAGCUUACCGAAGAUUAUCAAACUCCGAAUGCCGCAGAGAUGAUGUACGGGAGUCAGACUGCACGAGAUAAGUUGGGUAGUCAAAAGGGAAAGAGCCCAGACCAUCAGCUAAGGUCCCAAAGUGUGUGUUAAGUGGUAAAGGAUGUGGGAUUUCGAAGACAACUAGGAUGUUGGCUCAGAAGCAGCCAUACAUUCAAAGAGUGCGUAAUAGCUCACUAGUCGAGAGGUCCUGCGCCGAAAAUGUCCGGGGCUAAAACACACCACCGAAGCUAUGGAAUGUGAAAACAUUGGUAGAGGAGCAUUCUUAACGUGACGAAGCUGUACCGGAAGGAGCAGUGGAGUGUUAAGAAGAGAGAAUGCCGGAAUGAGUAGCGAGAUUUAAGUGAGAAUCUUAAAGGCCGAAUAUCUAAGGUUUCCAGGGUAAAGCUGAUCUUCCCUGGGUAAGUCGGGGCCUAAGGCGAGGACGAAAGUCGUAGUCGAUGGAUAACAGGUAGAAAUUCCUGUACCACAUACAAACAGAACUGUGGGGACGCAGAGAGAAAGCCAGAGCCGGAAAUGGAAAAGCCGGUGCAAGCGAGGUAUCCGUAAGGGAGGCAAAUCCCCCUUGCAAGGAGAAGACGUAAUGCGGAGUGAACUAUAAGUAACGAAGCUGGUGAGCUAGCUGCCAAGAAAAGCCGCUAUUGUUUUGUAUGUGCCCGUACCGUAAACCGACACAGGUGGAUGAGGAGAGAAUCCUAAGGCCGGCGGGAGAAGUGUUGUUAAGGAACUCGGCAAAAUGACUCCGUAACUUCGGGAGAAGGAGUGCCACAGAGAUGUGGCCGCAGAGAAAUGGCCCAAGCAACUGUUUAGCAAAAACACAGGUCUAUGCAAAACCGAAAGGUGAGGUAUAUGGGCUGACGCCUGCCCGGUGCUGGAAGGUUAAGAGGAGAGCUUAGCGCAAGCGAAGGUUUGAAUUUAAGCCCCAGUAAACGGCGGCCGUAACUAUAACGGUCCUAAGGUAGCGAAAUUCCUUGUCGGGUAAGUUCCGACCCGCACGAAAGGCGUAAUGAUUUGGGCACUGUCUCGACAACACACCCGGUGAAAUUGAAAUACCAGUGAAGAUGCUGGUUACCUGCGCCAGGACGGAAAGACCCCAUGGAGCUUUACUCCAGUUUGAUACUGGGAUUCGGUACUGUCUGUACAGGAUAGGUGGGAAGCUAGGAAAUGAUGACGCCAGUUGUCAUGGAGCUGACCUUGGGAUACCACCCUUACAGUACUGGGUUUCUAACCUGCAGCCGUGACCCGGCUGGGGGACAAUGUCUGACGGGGAGUUUGACUGGGGCGGUCGCCUCCGAAAGGGUAUCGGAGGCGCUCAAAGGUUCCCUCAGAAUGGUCGGAAACCAUUCGAAGAGUGCAAAGGCAGAAGGGAGCUUGACUGCGACACCGACGGGUGGAGCAGGUACGAAAGUAGGACUUAGUGAUCCGGUGGUAUAACGUGGGAUUGCCAUCGCUCAACGGAUAAAAGCUACCCUGGGGAUAACAGGCUUAUCACUCCCAAGAGUUCACAUCGACGGAGUGGUUUGGCACCUCGAUGUCGGCUCAUCGCAUCCUGGAGCUGUAGCAGGUUCCAAGGGUUGGGCUGUUCGCCCAUUAAAGCGGUACGCGAGCUGGGUUCAGAACGUCGUGAGACAGUUCGGUCCCUAUCCGGCGUGGGCGUAGGAUAUUUGAGAGGAGCUGUCCUUAGUACGAGAGGACCGGGAUGGACGGACCGCUGGUGUAUCUGUUGUUGACCAACAGCAUGGCAGAGUAGCCAAGUCCGGCAGGGAUAAACGCUGAAGGCAUCUAAGCGUGAAGCCCCCCUCAAGAUUAGAUAUCCCAUUCUUUAAAGAAAUAAGACCCCUUGAAGACUACGAGGUUGAUAGGUCUGAGGUGUAAGUGCGGUAACGCAUUCAGCUGACAGAUACUAAUAGGUCGAAGACUUAUCCUGAG